rnacentral:rRNA from 1 species
UACGGAGGGCGCGAGCGUUGUCCGGAAUCAUUGGGCGUAAAGGGCGCGUAGGUGGCCCGGUCAGUCUUUGGUGAAAGCGCGGGGCUCAACCCUGCGUCGGCCAGGGAUACUGCCGCGGCUCGAGCACUGUAGAGGCAGGCGGAAUUCCGGGUGUAGCGGUGGAAUGCGUAGAGAUCCGGAAGAACACCGGUGGCGAAGGCGGCCCGCUGGGCAGUGGCUGACGCUGAGGCGCGACAGCGUGGGGAGCAAACAGG